rnacentral:rRNA from 1 species
GGGGGGGGGGGGGGGGGGGGGGGGGGGGGGCGGGGCGGGCGGGGGAAGGGGGCUUGCGGCUGGGUUCAGCGGCGGGCGGGGGAGUAAUGCCUAGGAAUCGGCCUGGUAGUGGGGGAUAACGUCCGGAAACGGGCGCUAAUACCGCAUACGUCCUGAGGGAGAAAGUGGGGGAUCUUCGGACCUCACGCUAUCAGAUGAGCCUAGGGCGGAUUAGCUAGUUGGUGGGGUAAAGGCCUACCAAGGCGACGAUCCGUAACUGGUCUGAGAGGAUGAUCAGUCACACUGGAACUGAGACACGGUCCCGACUCCUAAGGGAGGGCGCAGGGGGGAAUAUUGGGAAAUGGGCGAAAGCCUGAUUCAGCCAAGCCGCGGGUGUGAAGAAGGUCUUUUGAUUGGAAAGCACUUUAAGUUGGGAGGAAGGGCAGUAAGUUUAUAACUUGCUGGUUUGACGUUACCAACCGAAUAAGCACCGGCUAACUUCGUG